rnacentral:rRNA from 1 species
UAAUACAGAGGGUGCGAACGUUGCUCGGAAUUACUGGGCGUAAAGCGCGUGUAGGCGGGUCGGCAAGUCAGGCGUGAAAUCCCCAGGCUCAACCUGGGAACUGCGCUUGAAACUGCCGGUCUUGAGUAUCGGAGAGGGUGGCGGAAUUCCUGGUGUAGAGGUGAAAUUCGUAGAUAUCAGGAGGAACACCGGUGGCGAAGGCGGCCACCUGGACGAUUACUGACGCUGAGACGCGAAAGCGUGGGGAGCAAACAGGAUUAGAUACCCUGGUAGUCCACGCCGUAAACGAUGGGUGUAGGUGUCUCGGGUAUUGACCCCUGAGGUGCCGUAGCUAACGCGUUAAGCACCCCGCCUGGGAAGUACGGCCGCAAGGCU